UCAAACCACUAGGGGUGCUUUUCAAAGCUGAGAGAGACGCUUGUCUUAACCCUUAUAACCUGAACUAGGUAAUACUAGCGUAGGAAAGAGGUAUUGUGUGCUA
rnacentral:ncRNA from 2 species